AAAAAAAAGGGAAACCAGGACACUCACCUUAAGCUGGGCUGUCCCCACAACAGGAUGGGUGUUGGUUGACUCAUACAUUUUUUUGCAGUUUACAGACUUCCUACACAAUACAUAAAUUAAGGAUGUUUUUUUUGUUGGUUAUGCUCAAAGUUGACAGUGAGUUUAGGUGUAGUCAGAAAAAUGCAUUUGAUUGACUAAUAGAACCAAAAAUAUGACAUAAAAUCUCAAGCAAAUUCCAUAAUAAUGUAGUCUAAUGUCUUUGCAAUGCCUGCCAGACACUUAUGGAGGACAGAUUAUGAAUAAUCCUUUAAAGUUGUUAUUUGUAAGAUUAUUGCUUUUCUAAGUAGAGUCAUUAAUUUGUAUGACAUAUGAUCAUUGACAUGACUUGUUUCUUUUACCUGUACUUAAUCCUUUUGAUGCACUUUGAGAAAGGAGUAUACAUUUUGUUUUCUUGUCUGGGAGAAAUGUGCUGCCGUUUUCUGUUCAUUAUCCUCUGUGAACACACUAAGACAACCGCAAGCUAUAUAAUCAGGUUCAGGUUGGUUUACCUUCCUGCUUAUCUCCUCUCCAUCUGUCUGCAUGUCUAUCGGCUGUCUGUGUAGGGGCUCAGGUUUCCUAGUUCCCCUCCUCUGAGCUCCCACAGCUCCCUGCACAAGGCUGAACGUGCCCCGGUCACACGCCCUCCUCUCUCUCUGGUGCUGGGAGCCACAUCGACACACGGCUUCCCACACUUCUGUAUGCAGCCUGCUCAGCUGCCCACACAAUAGAAGUGUGUCUACUCUCACAAAGCCUCAGGACGGUUCUCAGGACGAAAGUCAUUUCACAGACAAGCCAUCUGGUUGAGCUGUAGCUCACCGCUGAGACACACAGAGUCAGAAAAUAUAACUUUAAAGCAUUAUUACAGCUUUUGGGGAAUUUAAAAAAAAUGAUUUUCUUUGCUAUUUUGGUAUCUAUUAGUUUUCAGCAGUGAUGAAGAGAGUUUACUGAACAUUAAUCUCAUUAAAGAAAGAACAGAAAUUUGUCCUUAAAGUGUAACUGACUUCCCUUUCCUGUCAGGAUUUUAUGAUGCCAUUAAAACAUUACAAUGAUUUUUAGUUUAACUGUAUGUAAAUGUAAUGUAAUAUUUAGUUUUAUUUUAUUUUCACAUUCCUAGUUUAGCAUCAUUAAAGGGUCUUUGCCUGGAUUCUUUCGCUUAUGUCAAAUUCUAAUCAGUGUUCAGGUCUAAGCAGUGAGAAACAAAAUUUUCCCAUGUCCACUUCAGGAAAAAUAUUUUCCCAGUGACCUUGCUGAUCUGUGGCAUGCAGAUAAAGCAUCCCACCUGUUCUGUGUGACAGGCAUUAAAUUCACUCUAUUGUUCUGAGCUGUGAGCCUCCCGAUUGGCUGAAAAGCAGAGAGAAUGCAAGAUUAGCAGCAUAAAUGCACAGGCGAGACGCAGAUGUCAACAAAGACGUCCUCUGAACCUUCGCAGGCAACAGCAGAACUUACCACCACACAAAGCAAACCUUGAAAUGGCUCUUUAUGCAGACCUCGCUCUUCAAGACAGCGUAAAGGAGCAGCUCUUUAGGUGUAAACUCCACAUGUUGGAGAAGAAAUGCUGCACUGGAGUGGAGAAGCUGAAGGCUCUGAUUGGAGAACACCUGCAGAAUGGGAUCCCUGUUUCAGACAUCCUGGAAAAAACAAAGUGCUUCCUCACCUUAAGAAAAGCCUUGCUGUCACACAACGGCUUCUCCAAAUAUUCAAGGGACAUUUUACGGCUGUUUCCCGAUGCAGAGGAAGACUUGGCUCCACUGUGCUUUUGAUGACAACGAGGAAUGGACAAUAAGAAAUCACUGACAUUGCAUUAAAACAACUGCAGUUUAUUGAUUUAUGAACUACAGAUUUAACAAUGCCAGCUACAUCUCUGUUCUAGAGAAAUGCAUUUUUUGCACUAUCACAAGCAGAUCUGCAGAAUCCUCAAAUGAUACGGUUUCAUUUUGGCAACAACAGUAGCCAGAGGAAGAAAAUGAUUCCGAGGAAAAUGUGAAGAGGUCACUGACUGGGAAGAAGAGUCAGUGGCUACGUCGUUACAACAUGUGCUGCUAUUUGUGGGAUUUACGAUUCUCAGGGUUGUAGAUCACAGAAGAUAAAUCUGGUCUCUUAACUAUGCUGAUGUUUAAAUAUUAAGGACCAUAUUUUUUUUAAAUGUAUUGAUUAACUGCAGUAAAAUCUGCUUAAAUUUUUAAGCCAGAGCAAUAUUAACCUAUUCUUCCUGUGAAAAUACUGUAUAGGCAAAUAUUGUGUGAUUACAGUUUGCAUACAGUAUCUUACUGCCUUGUUUCAAGGUAUAAAGUAUCACAUUCUUAAACACCAACCUUUCUUCUGAAAAGGGAUUUGUUAUUGUUUUGUGUAUGCCAUGUAUGCAUAUUUCAGUUUAUUCACUGUUUUUUUAAUUUAUCCAAAGUGGAUUGAAAUUUGUUUUUGUGUUUUUUUUUCACAUUUCAAGAAAAUAAACAUGCAAAGGAUGCAA